rnacentral:rRNA from 1 species
ACGCUCGACACCUAAGGCAGCAGUGGGGAAUAUUGCACAAUGGGGGAAACCCUGAUGCAGCGACGCCGCGUGGAGGAAGAAGGUCUUCGGAUUGUAAACUCCUGUUGUUGGGGAAAAAGAGGAUGGUACCCAACAAGGAAGUGACGGCUAACUACGUGCCUGCAGCCGUGGUAAUCUGAGCGGGCUGGCAAGGC